UACAGAAACGGCUUUUAGGUCGCUCGGUAUCUAUUGAUACGUCUAUUCCAGCUAAUAUUGGUAAUAGAACCUCUUCUACACGUCGACAAGAGUCAUCUUGUGUUUGCCAGUCACUCUGUGUCUGGCAUUUUUUAUU
rnacentral:ncRNA from 1 species